UACGGGGGGGCGAAGCGUUGUUCGGAAUUACUGGGCGUAAAGGGCUCGUAGGCGGCCAACUAAGUCGGAUGUGGAAAUCCCCAGGCUUAACUUGGGAACUGCAUCCGAUACUGGAUGGCUUGAAUCCGGGAGAGGGAUGGCGGAAUUCCAGGUGUAGCGGUGAAAUGCGUAGAUAAUUCUGGAGGAACACCGGUGGCGAAGGCGGCAUCCUGGACCGGCAUUGACGCCUGAUGAGCGAAAGCCAGGG
rnacentral:rRNA from 1 species